AUUGAACGCUGGCGGCAGGCUUAACACAUGCAAGUCGAGCGGGGGAGGUUGCUUCGGUAACUGACCUAGCGGCGGACGGGUGAGUAAUGCUUAGGAAUCUGCCUAUUAGUGGGGGACAACAUCCCGAAAGGGAUGCUAAUACCGCAUACGCCCUACGGGGGAAAGCAGGGGACCUUCGGACCUGGCGCUAAUAGAUGAGCCUAAGUCGGAUUAGCUAGUUGGUGGGGUAAAGGCCUACCAAGGCGACGAUCUGUAGCGGGUCUGAGAGGAUGAUCCGCCACACUGGGACUGAGACACGGCCCAGACUCCUACGGGAGGCAGCAGUGGGGAAUAUUGGACAAUGGGCGGAAGCCUGAUCCAGCCAUGCCGCGUGUGUGAAGAAGGCCUUUUGGUUGUAAAGCACUUUAAGCGAGGAGGAGGCUCUUAAGGUUAAUACCCUUGAUGAGUGGACGUUACUCGCAGAAUAAGCACCGGCUAACUCUGUGCCAGCCGCCGCUGUAAGAC
rnacentral:rRNA from 1 species